rnacentral:lncRNA from 1 species
GAGCGGCCACGGAAGGCCCUUGACGGCUUAGGAGCAGCAGGGGUGCUCGAGGUAUCCGGCGAGCGUCGGAGUCAGAGGCAAAAUGAGACGACGGUGAUCGGCGGCUGCAUGGGCCCUCUGCUCCAACGUAGGACCCCGGGCGACGUGGAUGAGGAUGGCGGAACGGACGGACAGGGUCGGUGGCCUCGGGGCCGCCGGUGGCCGCGGAAUCGACGGAAGUACGGCGGCGAUGGCGUCGGUCUCCUCUCCAGAACGGAGGAGAUGGAGAGGGGAGAGGUGGAUCUGGGGNNNNNNNNNNNNNNNNNNNNNNNNNNNNNNNNNNNNNNNNNNNNNNNNNNNNNNNNNNNNNNNNNNNNNNNNNNNNNNNNNNNNNNNNNNNNNNNNNNNNNNNNNNNNNNNNNNNNNNNNNNNNNNNNNNNNNNNNNNNNNNNNNNNNNNNNNNNNNNNNNNNNNNNNNNNNNNNNNNNNNNNNNNNNNNNNNNNNNNNNNNAGGAGGCGGAGAGGCGCGGGGCCUUAUCCUCUCACGGGGGCGUCGCCGGCGAGGUGGUUCGGCGGGGACCAGCCUUCUGUUGCGGUCUGAGACUGAGGAACAGGGCGGGGGAGAGGUCGGUGCGAGGGGGGCAACUGGGCUAGCUCGGGUGGGUUAGGUGGCCGGACCAGGUGGGAUGGGCCGAAGCCCAAGGGGAGGCUGAGGGCUCUCCCACCCCUUCUUCUUUCCUUUUCUUUUUCUUUUUUUGUUUUUCUUUUCCAGCAGCUUUUGCCUUUUCUUUUAGCCAUUAAUGACUUUGCAAAAUUAUGCCACUGGCUAAAACAAUUCCAAAGAAUUAUUGUGCAAUGCCACAAAAAGAAUUGUGAGGCUUUUUUUGAAAAAGGUAGAAAUUUUAGAAAUUAAAAAGCCAUUUAAUCUAUUUCUUUAGCCACUACUUUAAUUGGUUUAGGCCAUUUAAACACCUUGCGAAAAUGUUGGUCCGCCACCAAUAUUAACAAAUGAUUAUUUGCCACAAGAUGGACAUUUUUGAUUUCAUGUCUGACAAAUAUGAAUUUUUUACUUUAGAUUGGAUUUGAAUUUGAAUGUGAUUUGGAUCAAGUGAAGAUUAGCAACAGUAAUGUGAUGACAUGGCACCAUUAACAGGGGAUUACUGUAUCAUGACACUUGGGGUGUUACAAAUCUCCUCCACUACAAGAAAUCUCGUCCCGAGAUUUAAGUGGAGAAGUAAAGAGUAACUUCAGGAGAACUGACCCUUAUAUGGUUAAUUAUCUGGUGAACAAUUCAGGGAAUGAGGCGGAAGUAUCUCUCGAGUUGAAACUUAAUAAAACAUCGAGACCAAAGUAUGAAGGUACCAUGAGAAGUUUUAAUGGGUAGGCAAUCAUUCCAUGCCUAAUCAAAAGGUGAAAGGGGUUCAGAGCAGCAACAACAAGAUUUAUUGCAUCUGAUACUAGAACAGAUCAAUAGGAAGGUGGCUCAUGAAUUACAUACGAAGGCAAGUGAAAAGGAAUACUUCGGAAUCAAGGAUGUACAGGAGUCAGGUUUCGAUCUUGUGGAACUGUGGGUUAUGUGCCCACCAUGUGGUUCAAAAGUAGGAAGGACGCCGACAUAUUGCACGGUCAUGGUAGCAAGGCAUGGCAGAGGAUAGUCUGUGAGUUAUGUUGGCAACAACAUUGGUACCAAGGGCGAGGGACGAAGAAAACCAUUUUCCUGCUCGUUGAACAAGGCGGACCAAUAGGCAAAGUUCUCGUCCAUUGGGGGUUACCAGGAUGUCGUCAGCAAUAGUAACAGGGUCACACUGACAGAGUUGUAAACCGAGGUGUUUUCAUAAGCAGGGAAGUAUUACUGCUUAAAUCUCAUAAACCACAAGAAAGGUUAAAAAAAACAAUGGAAAAGAAAGGUGAUCAUUAGAUUAAUCAGAACAUUGGAAAGGAAAAUGUGUUUACACACAAGAAUUUGGAAUAUAUCCUUCCCAAGGGGAAGCGGAGCAGGAUAUACAUGAUAUGACAGCAAGUUCAAAAGCAUUUAGAUAAAGGGGGCGAGGGAAGAAUCAUGAUAUUACCCAUACAAAGGUGUUUGGAUAAUAGAUCAAGAAACAUUUGACAAUGUGCUUCCAAUGUUCUUGCUGAUAUUCGGAAUACCUCAGUCAUGCUUCGAGGUAGCAUUAACAUAGUGUUUCGGGUAAGAGUUGGAUCUAAAGAUCUCAAAAGAUACAAAUGAACACUUCCAAGAUUAUGUCGAAACGUAAGGAAUAACCAAACACGACCAGAUCUAUGUUGGCAGGAAGUCAAGGAUGUCAUCGAUGAUAUAACAAAUCAUCUAGGGGCAGGGAUGGUGUUUCUAGCCAUGAAUUCAAUUGAUAUCUUAGAACAAGGCAGUAUAUUGAUGGUGAUCAUGACAAAUUUUGUUGAUAGGCUCUAUGAAGAUGCCAUCGAGUAGCAACGACAUCAAGCAAAAGGAAUGAUGAAGCAAAGGUUAUUGGAACAACGUAUACGACACAAGCUCGGAUUCAAGCUUGUUGUUCAGGGUGGAACGAUAAGAUGAGGAAGAUGGACGUAAGCUUCACUCAUCAUCGAAAAGUUGUGCUCUAGGAAUAAGGACCAGGUAGCACAGUUAAAAUUAGCAUGAUAAUGAUAUAUCCGAUCAGCCUAGGAAUGAUGUGACGGAGUAUCACUCCAAUUAAGAAUUUACAAGAGGUAGUGCAAUGACACAAUAUCCUUGAGAUAACAUGAGGCAAUACUUGAAGGUAGAUCAAAUUGGAGGUUGGACAGGUGAAAUGACUUGCAGGAGACAAGUAUUUUAACUUGUUCAAGAAAUGGAAUUAAGGAGAAACUAUGGUCAGCACCAUGAUUAUGAAUGAUCAAACCACCGAUACAAGAUGAACUUAUAACAAGGGGUAAAUAUUUGUACGAGUAGCUUCCAUGAUAAGUUCUACAUCGGGUCCAUGGGCAUGAACACAAAGGUUCAAGGUCGACUCCCACUUCUUCAAUGCAUAACCUUUCAUUCACUCCUCGUUUUCGAAGAAUUUGUAGUGCGAAAGAUUUAUCUGGUGAAGCACGAGAAGAGUAUGACUCACAUCUCUUUCGAGUUCACUCGGAUUAGGGAAGGCAUAGAUUCAACCCGUAGGGGUAUCGUAGGAACAUAUACCACUAAUUUCCAGAGCAUAUAACAUCAGCUCAAUAGCAGCAUGGUUGACAAUAAGCAGAGGAUAAAAUUUUACCAAAGGCAUUAUGUAUCAGAGGAAGAACUCAAGGAUUUGAGAACAGGCAGGUACGGUCAGAUAAUAAUCCACCAAAGGAUAUGGCUAACCACAAAGAAUCUGAUGUGAGUAACAAUGCUCAACCAAAAGAAGAAAUAGUGCAAAGGCAUCAGAUUAUAGAAGCAGUUGAAUAAUUUCGAUGUUCAAGUCGAAGGGAACUAGGUGGACAAUCAAGUACAACAUGAUUGGCCGAAAUCCAACUCAUGUCCAAAAUGACAUAUGAGCAGGAAGGUCAAAUUUCAGGGUUUGAAUGAUGAUUGCGAGCAACACGACAUAUUGAAUCAAUAGUCUCAGGAUGACAAUGACAAAAGGAUGUCAAUGAAUAUUGCCGGACAUAUGGAUUAACCAUAAUGCAGGCAGACAAGACUUUCGGGAGCACUAGGCUGCAAAGGAUCAUCGGGAGAUUGAAUUGCAUUCGAAGAAUUUUCUGAGACAUAUGAUCAACUGGGGAUGAACGAAUCCCCGAUAAGUGUGAGGAAUUAUUUGUAGGGGUAUUCAGGCGCAAAAAGAUUCUCGGAGAAAUCACAAAGUAUUUCAGGGUAUGUUGUAGUAACAAGAGCAAUUGGAAAAGAAGGUAUGGACGACAAGUGUAUGUAGCUAUCCAUGGGGAUUUAUCGAUGGUAGGGAAUUGCAACGGCGAAGGGCACAAGGGUCUCGGGAAAACCUCGAAGAGUAUCUUCAGAAUCUUCUGGCGAAGCAAGCGAUCAUGGAUAAUGUCGGGGCUCUCCGGGAGGAAGUGGGUACGAGAGCCUAAUGUCAGAGUUAGUAAAAUGUUUAACCCGAAUAGACGAGAGAUCAGAGUACCAGAGUAUAGACGAGGAAUAAAAGAUCCUAGUACCACCCAAUGGUGACAUGGGCCCAUAAGCCACACAACCAUGUUAGUAAAAGUUUUUUUAAGAGACUAGACUCAACUUCGGCGAAGGAGUUGGAAAGGGGGCUACCUACAGGCAAUCGGCUCUGAUACCAACUUGGGACGCCCUCGAUUCAAUCGUACACUAAUCAUGCAUGCAAAUGUGUACGAUCAAGAUCAAGGACUCACAGGAAGAUAUCACAACACAACUCUAGACAUAAAUUAAAAUAAUACAAGAUUUAUAUUACAAGCCAGGGGCCUCGAGGGCUCGAAUACAUCAGCUCGAAUACAAACGAGUCAGUGGAAGCAACAAUAUCUAAGUACAGACAUGAGUUAAACAAGUCUGCCUUAAGAAGGCUAGCACAAAAAGCAACAUCAAUCGAAAAGGCAAGGCCUCCUGCCUGGGAGCCUCCUAUCUACUCCUGGUCGUCGGUGGUCUCCAUGUAGUAGUAGGCAUCGGCGGUGGCAUCUGGCUCCUCGGCUCCAACAUCUGGUUGCAUCAACCAGAAAGAAGGAGAAAGGGAAAAAGGGGAAGCAAAGCAACCGUGAGUACUCAUCCAAAGUACUCGCAAGCAAGGAUCUACACUACAUAUGCAACAUUAUCAAAGGAAGGUUGUAUAUGUGGACUGGGCUGCAAAAAUGCCAGAAUAGAGAGAAGGCCUAGUCCUACCGAAGACUAGCAUCUUCUGGAAACCACCAUCUUGCAGCAAACAGGAGGGACUAGAGUAGCAUAAAGUAAAGUAGUAGUAGUGUUAUCAACCUCGGCCAGAGAUCCUUUCUCGACUCCCUGCGAGAAAGCAAUCCCAGAGCCACACCAUCCAUUUCUCAUCACAAUCCAAUUCUCAUCACAAGUAUCCAGUUCUAGUUGUAUCGAUCGGGAUACAACUCCAAGUGUCCAUUACCGUAGGACAGGCUAUCAAUAGAUGUUUUCUUCCCUACAGGGGUGCACCAACUUACCCACCACGCUCGAUUAACUCUGGCCGGACACACUUUCCUGGGUCAUGCCCGGCCUCGGCCAAACAAUACGCCGCAACCCGACCUAGACUUAACAGAGAGGUCAGCACACCGGACUAAACCUAUGCCCCCAGGGGUCAUGGGCCAUCUCCCCGGAAACUCCUACACGUUGCGUACGCGGCCGGUGAGCAGACCUAGCUACCUCCUUCAACAAGGCAGGUGCUUACGCAGUCCAACCCGGUGCGUGCCACUCAGUCGCCGACGUCUAUUAAGCUUCGGCUGAUGUAUACGACGCAGAACGCCCAUACUAUGCCCACGUGAUGGUUAGUGCUAUCAGGCCAGAGGCCCCUCGGAUCGAAUAUCCAAAUCGUAGUGGAUUAGGAACGCGCGGUAACAAGCAGAGACUCACGAAAGAUGUGACCCCGAUGCCCCAUCUCGAGGACUUGCGGCAAGGGCUAAGAAUGCCCGGCCACGCCUCGUAAUUAUCUCGCGGGCACCUUCCAGGUCAACCCGACUCCACAUCACUCGCAAUUAUGCUUGCGCGGGUACCCCUCAGGGUCGACCCGUCUUUAGUAACAUGGUUCAGUGUAAAGUCAUAGUAAUCAUAGUAACUGUGUGUCUAAACAUCAAGGGGAAAACCCGAGGAAUCACCCCCGGUGAAUUCCACUCGAUGUAAUCAUCAAGGUGAACGUAGGAGGAAUCACCCCCGAGGUUCACACUUGAGGUGUUGCACGACAGAGUCGUAUCGGAAGUGGUUCAGGCGGAAUCACUCUCGAUGACCACGACCAAAUAGCUACACUACAGGGUUAACAUCAGAAGUGCUGUAGAGGUCUCACCCUCGGCACUCGAUAGUAACCUAGCAGUGUCGAGCAACUAAGGGGAAAGUGAUGUGCGCUGCCGGGGCCUGGUCUUCGAUCCCGUUGAUCGGGUCUUCGAUGAUGAAGCAGGGGCAACAAGGACAAGGUGGGGGUCACUGAUGCAUCACUAACGAACCUAUACUAAGUAGUUUAGGAUAAGUAGGUAAGGUAAAAAAGCAGGUUACAAAAGCAGGCUAUGCAUCAUAAUAGGAGCAAACAAUAACAAUAGCAAAAUCUAAUGCAAGCAUGAGAGAAUGAAAUGGGCGAUAUCGGGAUGAUCAAAAGGGGGGGCUUGCCUGGUUGCUCUGGCAAGGAGGGGUCGUCGUCGACGUAGUCGAUCACAGGGGCAACAUCGGUCUCGGGGUCUACCGGAGAGAAGAGGGAGAAGAAACAGUAAAUAGAGAGCAAGCAAGUGCAUAACAGGACAACAGGCAAAGCUAGACGUGUUCUAACGCGGUGCUACACGCUACCGGCGAAAGGGGAUAACAUCCGGGAAUGCUUUCCCGAAGUUUGGCACUUUCGGACAGACGAACCGGAGGGGAAAGUUGCAUGUUUGCUAUGCUAGGGAUGUGUGGUGGACGAACGGGUUGCGUAUCCGGAUUCGUCUCGUCGUUCUGAGCAACUUUCAUGUACAAAGUUUUUCCAUCCAAGUUACGGAUGAAUUCCUACGAAUUUCCGAAGAAUUAAACAGCUAUUUGGAAAUCCUGAAAAUUGGCCAAGACUGAGAUUUGUUCAGUUUUUAAAGUUCACUUAGCUGAUUUCCAAAGGCUAUAACUAUGGUUCUUCCCAUCCUAUGGAUUAGUACCUUAUAUCAAUAUUGACCAUUUCCCUGUGAUCUACAAGAUGAUAUCAAUUGCAUCACUGAUAGUGUUGAUUUGCUUAAACAAAACUUUGCUUGAAAAGUGCCACUUGUUGUUGAUUCCAGAAACUGUUAAAUAUACGAACAUAGGAUUUUGUGAUUUUCACAGAAUUUAAUCCAUGCCUUAUUUGAAUUUAGUCCAAUGGGAUGUUUUGAACCUUUUCAAGUGCAUUACCCGCACAUAUUUAUUUUAGCUAUGUUAAGCUUUUUUUAGUUGAAGUUUUGAGGCUGUCAAGAGGGCUAGUCAGUGUAAUAGUUGCAAAGCUGGCUACUGCUACAGUAACUGAAUGUUACUGUAGCAGGGGAGCAGCAGCCGAGCGCAGCGGGCAGAGCAACAGCAAGGAGUAGCAGCGACGGCGCGGCGAGGUCGGCCGAAGGCGGGCGAGGCCGGAGGUGGGCGCGGCCACACACUCAGAGCACACACACACUACAUGCACACAUCGUGCACACACACACUGCACACACACAUCGUGCACACACACUGCACGCACGCACCACACGCACACACACGCACGGUCGCUCGGCCAAGGCCACGUCCAUGGCCAGCAGUAGCAGGCUAGCAGCAGCCAACCGCAAUGGCUAGCGGCAGCACGUUCCCAUGGGGGCGGCCUGGUUAGAGGUGGAGCGAGGGUACGACCACGUGCAUUCAGCGUGCACUGGGGCGUGGCUGGUCGAGCAACGGGAGAGGAAGGCUGGGGGCGAGGCCACGGCAAGGAAGGCGCGGGGAGCCCGCGGCCCGGUGCAGGAGUUAAUGUGGCGGAGCGCGGCGACCAGCGGCAGAAAGAGCAACGACAGCAGCAUCAUGGCAACAGCAGAAGGUAGGGGAGGAGCGACGCGGGGGAGGAGCAGCGACGUGCAGCAAGCAACACGACAGUAGGCAAGCAGAGCAACGCAGCAGUGCGGGCGAGCGCGGGGCGUAGACUGGGGGCAGUGACCGCGUGAUGACUGCGGCCACGGUCAGAAGCACAGACGGCGCGGACGGCGACCUACGACGGUGAAUCGAGGAGGAGGAGAGGACGGACUGGAGCUCACCGAGCGGCCACGGAAAGCCCUUGACGGCUUAGCAGCAGCAUGGGUGCUCGAGGUCGCCGGCGAGCGUCGGAGUCAGAGGCGAAAGGAGAUGACGGUGAUCGGCGGCUGCAUGGGCCCUCGGCUCCAACGUAGGACCCCAGGCGACGUGGAUGAGGACGGCGGAGCGGACGGACAGGGCCGGUGGCCUCGGGGCCGCUGGUGGCUGCGGAAUCGACGGAGGUACGGCGGCGAUGGCGUCGGUCUCCUCUCUAGAACGGAGGAGAUGGAGAGGGGAGAGGUGGAUCUGGGGGAGAGUGGGAGUGGCGGUAGG